rnacentral:lncRNA from 1 species
AAAACCUCCAAUUUUGGGCAUCAUGUCGUUAUCCAGCAAAAUCUUUGUAGGUUUUAAUUCCAGAUGGUAAAUAGGAUACUCAACUCCUUUGUGAAGGUAAUGUAAACCCUCACAUACCCCUCUAAUUAUUUUGUAACAUGUAUGCCAAACAAGUGCACAUGGUUCAUCUAUAGAAGUAAAAGAAAAUGUGUAUUACGAAGAUGUAAAGUUUAGGGAUCAUUGUUCUUGCAUGCAAGAAUAAUAGUGUAAGUAAGUAGAGCAUAAUCACACUAGAAAGGUGCUUGUCAAAGGUUCCUCCCUCCAAGUAUCGAGCAUAAAUAUCUUUCUUCAACUCAGAGCAGAUACAUGCUUUCCAUUGUGCUCAACAAGCACCUGUGCUGUAUGAUGGCAGUAAGCAACCAACGGUAUGGUAUUUUGAUGUUGGACCCUCAUAUAAGAAUAUCAAACUCGUUGUUGAAUUCCUCGUCGUCAAGUUCCGACAUGAGAUGAAGCUUCUUCACAGCAAUGCAUUCCCCAUUGUCCCGUACUCCCUGUCAAAGCAAACUAUGUAUUAAGUCACCAUGGCUAACUGUUGCAUCCUUUAUAAGCUUUUCUAUGUGUGGGACAGAGCAUAUGGGUUGCUCUGCUGAGAACUUUAAUCACAAAGAUUGUAUUGCAAAAAUUGGAUCUUGAGUUAUCACCUCCAUACUAAAGAAAUAGGGAUCGAUUAUGCACUCCGGGGAAAAACCAUAGUACCUUGUAGACUACUCCAUGCCGACCACGACCAAUGAUGCGUUCCUCGGAGAAAUUGUCUGUGAUGUUGUUCAACAACCCGACUGUAAACUCGUACCGAGGAACCGGUUAGGGGUAGGGGUAGAGGUAGGGGUGGAAGACGUCCUUGACGGCGUCCUUCUUGGCGUCGUCCUUCUUGUCACCGUCGUUGACGGGCGAGACAGAGAAGAUCUCGGCGUUUGCAAACAACCUUCUCAGCUUGCCCACAACAUCGACGGGGUCGACCACGCCGGUGACGGUGAUCCUCCCACCCCGCAAGUCCGCAGCAAUCGCGUCGAUACCUUCACGUCAAACGAAUUCAGGAACAAGACUGGAGAGGAGAAAAAAAACCAGGGACAGGUAAGUAAUAGCGGUGGUACCAUGGAGAUUGGAGAGUGCUUUGAGCGCCUUCCGCUGCUGGCUGCUGUCGUUCAGCGCCACCUUCAUCACCAUCUUCCGCUGCGAUCCCCAUAGAGAGAACAAGCGCCAUGAUCAAGCAACAAAUUAACCCAUGGAGCAACCAGCAACAGCUACGGAUCAGCAAGAUUUCUCAGCUAAACUCACCUUCAUCAUGGGGCCAGCAAUCCAGCUAAGCCCACGGGGCAAAGAGAGGGGAAGGUGGAAGCGAACAUAGAAGUCGGCCAAAAAUCCAAAUGGUGCUCGAUCAAGUGGACAGAGUACCACAAAUAGUCAAUUAUUGGAGACGGAAAUAUAUUGCCAUCCGCAGCAUGGAGGACCACCUACAGCACUCCCACCAACCGCGUGACCACCAACGUGAUUAGCUCUUAUUAACGGAUUUAGAGCAUCUGCAGCCGGACUUGGCAAAUCCGGUCCCUCAAACACGUCCGCGGAUACUUUUUUUUCUGACCGGGCACCCCUCAAAUAACGCAAUCUAUAUCCGAAUACCUCAAAUUAGAAAUCUCAAAUCCAUAUUAUUACAUGCAACGUGAAACAUAAUCUAAGCGGAGCUCGUCCGUCCCUGCCGUGCCCAUGGUCGAUGCCGGCUGCACUCCCUAGAGUGUUGGCCUGGUCGCCACCAAGGUAGAGAAGAGUAUGGGACACGGGCCGGCUCACAGGACUCGUGGUGCCGCCGUCUCCCAUGCCCCACUCUUCCUCGUCGGAGCUGAGAUCGAUGAUGGAUCCGUCUUGACACGAGCCGGCAUCCACCAUGACGUUGUUGCGGCGCCCAGACUAUCGCCCCAUCCGAGGUGCCAGAGAAGGCGACUCCGCCUCGCCGACGUCCACCGCCGCCUCCCACGCCCGCUGCCUCGUACGCGGGGCACGCCACGCCGUGUUCUCGUCGGACGAGCCCCACGGUGCGUCCCGAUGCUCGGCGCCAACAGAUGGGUUGCGCGUCCGCCAACGCGUUUGGAUGCCAGACGGACCGCACCGCCUCCGGUGAGCCAGCGGCGACUCCCCUACCGUCGGAUCCAUGUACCAUUUGGGCGGACGCAAUGGAUUCCCGAUGAAAGGAGUCUGAGUGCUGCCGUGCACGGGCCGCCACCCAGGAGCGGCGAAGUGCAACCCGGACUGCCAUCUCCUCCUCGGGGCCGCAUGGGAUGAGCUUGGGGUCAAUAGAUCUCGAGGUGAAUGACUCGGAUCUGCUGCCGGCCAUGCUAGAGACCGUUGCUGGUGAGCUCGGGUGACGGAGGGGAGUGGAGUGAAGUGGCUAGGGUUUGGUUCGGCGAGCGGAUGGGGAUGAAUAUAUAUGUAGGGUCGUGUGGGCCAGCAUGGGCCGGGUCUGACGUGCGGGCGUGCACAGGCACGCCCGGGUGCCCCAUAUCCGCCCCAAAUUUGGGCUGGAUAUGGGGGUGCCGGUCAGCCCGAGCAUUUGAGGGCCUUUUGAGGCGCCCGUCUAGGUAAUAAACUCGCGACCAGGUAGUGAUCGGGCGGCCGGCCGGGCAUAUGGGGUGGGUUUGAGAGGUCGGGCUAUAGAUGCUCUUAGUAUAUAUAUUUUUUUGCGAGGGUAAACAGUUCUUUUCCGUAAGAAUAGGGUUACAAUCGACGGGCACAAGUUCCUCUGUGCACGGUGGUCUACAAUCUAGCCAUCUAGCAGUUGCAGUCUCAGUACGACUAUACAAUGUCAAUCGAUCUGCUACCAUAUUUCAUAUUUUGCUCACCCUUAAUUUUAUGUGGAGUAAACUCAUGAGGUACCAUAAGAUGUUUGAUCUCAGCUACCAAAUGUCCAGAUGUCGACCGGAACAAAUUGUCACUAGUUAGGGACGUCAAUGUCUUCGAAGAGUCCGUUUGGACAAUUAUAGAAACAUCAUUGUAUUGAGCCGCGAGCGUCAUACCUUGAAUGAGUGCAUGCAACUCAGCCUAUAGUGCGUCGUUGCAAUUAAACAAGCAACGAUACGCAGCAAAAAUCACACUUUCAUCAUGUCUCCUCAAGAUCAUGCUGGCUACAGCCGAGCCAUGUACCAAAGAAAAGGCCCCAUCAACUGAUAGUGCAACCUGAUUUAUGGGCGAUGGUGACCACGGCAGCAUGUUGGAAACCACUACAACACGAGUAGCCGGGCCUUCCUCCAUUAGCGGCAUCGUCUAGAUGAGAAUUAUUGCAUAUUUUAGUUCUCUAGAUUCAUGCAAAAACUUUUGUCGCAGGCGCGUGCAGUGGUUUUUGUCUAGGCUAUCAUUCACGCUUUGUCCCCCGCAGCCCGUGGUUUUCUUUCCUUCUGUAUAUACUGGGCCGUGCCCUGCCCUUCCUGUGUUUGUUGUGCGCCGUUUUCUUCCCAGCGCUGUAGCAUGGGCCGAAUGAUCGAAGAGUCAAGCCUUCCAUAUAAACUUGCAUGGUUGACAUGCACAUCAUGUGUGUGUGUGUGUGUGUGUGUGUGUGUGUGUGUGUGUGUGUGUGUGUUUUGCUUUUCAUCCCUGUCGUUUGCCUUCUGUUAUUUUUGUGAAACCUUUCUAUAUCUUGAAUAUUUUCACAUCAUGAAUUAUUUUCCGAAUUCGUGAACACUUUUCAAGAUUUAUAUUUUUUUAGAAAUGCUUGUUUUUAUUUGAAUUUGUGUUCAUUUCUUGAAUUCCAAAAAAGAAUCAAAUUUGUGAUAUUUUUAAUUCACAAACAUUUUAAUAUAUAUUUUUCUUAGUAAGAAUGGAUGAAUGAACCUUCUAUGUUAGUCAGUGUAGCAAAAAGAAAUUAUGCCGGUUCCGUGUCGACCUAGCCUAGUUGUGUGCACAUCUUUCGGCACACAACUCACGCGAUUAAGUUGCAUGUUGAUCCUCAACACACAAUUUGGGCUAUCCUUGACAUACAACUCGCCUGACCGGGUUGCAUGUCCACCCUUGACACACAUCUUGACCCUACGUAACCCAGUUGCAUAUCGAUCCUCGGCACGCAACUUGAUCCGACCAGUUGCAUGUCCACCGUUAAUAAUCCCGCUGCAACUUGGAGGCCCAAACCUUUUUUGUCCCAAUUCAAGUCCACCCUUCGACAUGCAACUAGGCCUGACUCAUUUUUUCUCUCCAUUUCAAGUCCACCAUCGACACCCAAUUGGAGGUCCCAACCGGUUUUUUCCAUAUGCAAUUUCACCACUGAUAUGCAACUGCCCCCCCCCCCUUGUUUUUUUGUCCUAAUUGCAAGUCCACUCUUUGAUAUGCAACUGGGCUUUUGUCCUAGUUGCAAGUCCAAUGUCAACACCCAACUGGGGAUGACCCGACACUUUUAUCCUAGUUGCAGGUCCACCUCCGACAUGCAGCUCGGCCCACAUGUUUUUGUCCUAGUUACAAGUCCUCCUUUUGAUACGCAAUCAGGCUAGACUCAUUUUUUGUCUCCCUUACAAGUCCACCCUUGACAUACAACCGAGGGAAUAUUGUUGUCCCAGUUACAAAUCCACCCUCCAGAUGCAACUAGGUUCUACAUUUUUAAUUGUCCUAGUUGACGGUCAACCCAUCGAUGCGCGACUGAGCCUAACCUAUUUUUUGUCCUUGUUGCAAGUCUAUCCUCGACAUGCAACUAGAGUCUGCCCGUUUUUGUCCGAGUUUCAAGUCGACCCCCGACAUGCAACUGGGACCGCCUUUGUUUUCAUAGUUGUAGGUCAGUUCAUUGAUAUGCAACUAGGCCUAACUCAUUUUUGUCCCAGUUGAAAUCCCACUCNNNNNNNNNNNNNNNNNNNNNNNNNNNNNNNNNNNNNNNNNNNNNNNNNNNNNNNNNNNNNNNNNNNNNNNNNNNNNNNNNNNNNNNNNNNNNNNNNNNNNNNNNNNNNNNNNNNNNNNNNNNNNNNNNNNNNNNNNNNNNNNNNNNNNNNNNNNNNNNNNNNNNNNNNNCAAGUCCACCUUCAAACACAUAGCUCGACCCUGAACCAUUCAUCUGGUUGCAAGUCCAUCCUUGGCACGCGAUCUGGCCCCGACCUUUUUUGAUGUAGUUGCAAGCCCUCCCUUAACAUGAAAUUGCCCUGAUAUUUUUUGUUUUAAUUGCAAGUCCAUCCUCGACAUGCAACUUUUUGUCUUCACCAAUUUUUAUCCUAGUUGUGAAGUAACACAUGGAGAGGCGAGAAUAAAGAAUGAUGCAUGCAUGCCAAAUUCUGCCUUUCAAGCCAUUCGUUUUGCACCUUACAAGAUUGUUGGUCGUUGUUGGUUAAUUUUUUUAUGGUGGUGUUGUUGGUUAAUCGUUACUCUUUUUUGAGAAAUCGUAAACAUUUCUUACUACAAAGCUAUAUAAAUUAAACAAAAGAUAAAAUUGAGGGGAAGAAAAAGUCACACAAACAUGUAACACACGACAGGGCGCAGGUCAGUGAGAAUUAAACGAAAAUCGACUCGCCCGGAAGAUCAACUCGGCGCAGCUGCAAAAUUGCCGUGUCAUAGUGAAAGCAUCAAAGGAGGAGACCCUCAAGAAGUGGGUGUCCGGCGGAGGGAGUGCUAGUGGCGGACGAGCCGGCGGUGGAGGCGGAGGUCGUGGCCGCAAACAAGGUGGAGGUCAUGGCCACGGUUCGCAAAUGCCAUCGUAUAGAUGCCGCAUGGCUGGAGCAUUACAAGGCUCCGCACUUCUACGCCGCAAAGCAGCUGCUAGGCACUCCCCAGUAGCCACCACCAUGCCGUUCAUCAUCAACGUCAACGCAGUGCCGCUGCUCUUCUUGGAGUAUUCUUCACCGCAGCCUGUCCGGGCGCAGACGACGGGCGGGGAGCAAAUAGGUGCCCGCACGCUGUUCGCGUGUAUGCCUAAAGCGGGUGAGCCGACCUACGACGGGGACCAAGAGAUGAUGGAGAUUAUUCAUGACGGAGGCGACGGAGGAGAUGCCAAUUAGGAUGGGCAGGUGGAAGACUCGGAUCCCACCCAGUCCGACAAUUACACCCAAACUGGCACGCAGCAGGCCAACACCCAGACGGGCACACAUCAGCCGGGCCGCUGAACAGCAGUAGGAGGAGGAGGAGGCGAAGGAGGAGGAGGAGGAAGACGACGACGGCGAGGAUGAUGAUCCGGAUGAUCUUGUCGGCGAUCCGAAGAAGAGGGGUAGAGAAGAAAGCUUCAAUCGAAGUGAAACCUAUUCAUAGCCAAGACCGCCACCGAGGAAGAAACUGCGGAUCCAACCGACCAAACAAAAGAACCGCCCAAGAAUAUUAGAAGAGGGUUCCAGGGAAAUUAGUGGGAGGAGGAGAGGACGAAGCGAGAUGGUGCGGCUGCCAAGUUGAGGAGAAGUUCGAGGACAUGUUGACGAAGAAGGAGGAAGCAUACGUCAAGCGUUCGGAUAUCCAGGAGGAGAAAAGGUUGAUCGUUAAGGCUUCCACCCUGCAUGUAUUUGAAACAAAUCGCUCUUUCUACCACACUAGCAGAUACAUGUUUUCCUUUGUACUCAACAAAUAUUUGUGAUGUAUGGUAGCAGUAGCCAACUAAACGUACAAUAUUUUCGUGUUGGACCCUCAUUAGAUUAUUAACCUCAUUCUUAAAUUGCUCAUCAUCAAUGCCCAGUUGAUGCAGUUUCUUAACAGCAAUCUCUUCUCCAUUGUCCAACACUCCCUGUUGAAAAUCUCUGUUUUUAUGGCACAUCAUUCUUCUAAUUAACAGUAGGUUUCAUAUGAAAUUCAGAAGUUGAAGUAAUACCAUACCUUGUAAACAUCUCCAUAUCCACCACUGCCAACUUUGUUCUGGUCAGAAAAGUCAUUUGUAAUACAUUCUAAGAACUCAAAUGCAAACUCCCUUGUGCUAUAUAGCUCAUCUAUAGAUGAGCACUCAACAAUAUCAAUCUUUUUCAGUCUUUGUAUGAUCUGAUUUAUAGUAGUCCUCUUCACUUGACUGGACUCCACGCAUUUUAGAGCUAUUUCGACGCAUGUUCUAACUUCACGUGAAGUAUGCUUCGAUAUUGUGCCCUGCAUCUUAUUUACCCAGAAUCCAUAUACCUGCAGAAUUGAAACAAUUCCUUAGCAUGCAUGCCUAGAUGAAUUGCACAACCUAAUAUUUGAAAAAAUUGUUAAAUUUCAUAAAAUACAGUAUUUUCAUACAUGUUCAAUAAAUUCUUUGGGUGGAAUAUCUGCAUAUUUGGUGUAGCUCUCCUUUCCUGCCAUUAUUUGCAAGAUUAUAAUGCCCAUACUGAAUACAUCAAAUUUUGGUGUGAUUUGCCGUUUGCUGAUGUAUUCUGGUGGCAUGUAUUACACUGCAUAGUACAAAAAGAUUUUAUUUUAGCUUCAUACAAGAAUCCGAUUACUUCUCAUGUUUAUUAACGUACCUUGUUUGCGCAACUUCUGAUGUAUUGAAGGUUUCUGUUGUAUCAAAGAGUCUAGAGAAGCCAAAACCUCCAAUUUUGGGUAUCAUGUCGUUAUCCAGCAAAAUCUUGUUAGGUUUUAAUUCCAGAUGGUAAAUAGGAUACUCAACUCCUUUUUGAAGGUAAUGUAAACCCUCACAUACCCCUGUAAUUAUUUUGUAACAUGUGUGCCAAGCAAGUGCACAUGGUUCAUCUAUAGAAGUAAAAAAAGUGUAUUACGAAAAAGUAAAGUUUAGGGAUCAUUGUUCUUCCAUGCAAAAAUAAUAGUGUAAGUAAGUAGAGCAUAAUCAUACUAGAAAGAUGCUUGUCAAGGUUUCCUCCCUCCAUGUAUUCGGAGCAUAAAUAUCUUUCUUCUACUCGAGCAGAAACAUGCUUUCCAUUGUGCUCAACAAGCACCUGUGCUAUAUG